GAUGAACGUUGGCGGCGUGCCUAACACAUGCAAGUCGCACGCUUGUAGCAAUACAGGAGUGGCGCACGGGUGAGUAACACGUAGCUUACCUGCCUCAAAGAGGGGGGAUAACCCCGCGAAAGCGGGACUAAUACCGCAUAAGCUCACGGACUAUAGAGGUCGGUGAGAAAAGGAGCAAUCCACUUUGAGAGGGGGCUGCGGCCCAUCAGCUAGUUGGUGCGGUAACGGCGCACCAAGGCCACGACGGGUAGGGGACCUGAGAGGGUGACCCCCACCA
rnacentral:rRNA from 1 species